AUGUACAUGCCUACUACAUAGUGUUAAUACACCAGAUCCCAUUAGAACUCUGUAGUUAAGAAUUCUCGGGCUAGAGUAGUACUGGGAUGGGUGACCACCUAGGAAGUCCUAGUGUUUUACAUU
rnacentral:rRNA from 1 species